GUGUCAGCCGCCGCGGUAAUACGGAGGGUGCAAGCGUUAUCCGGAUUUACUGGGUUUAAAGGGUGUGUAGGCGGGUCUUUAAGUCAGUGGUGAAAUCUCCGAGCUCAACUUGGAAACUGCCAUUGAUACUAUUGAUCUUGAAUUUUGUUGAGGUAGGCGGAAUAAGUCAUGUAGCGGUGAAAUGCAUAGAUAUGACUUAGAACACCAAUUGCGAAGGCAGCUUGCUAAACAAAUAUUGACGCUGAGGCACGAAAGCGUGGGGAUCAAACAGGAUUAGAAACCCGGGUAGUCC
rnacentral:rRNA from 1 species